GCUGGCGGCAGGCCUAACACAUGCAAGUCGAACGGAGUUAUAUUGUAGCUUGCUAUGGUAUAACUUAGUGGCAGACGGGUGAGUAAUGUAUAGGAAUCUACCUAGUAGUACGGAAUAAUUGUUGGAAACGGCAACUAAUACCGUAUACGCCCUACGGGGGAAAAAUUUAUUGCUAUUAGAUGAGCCUAUAUUAGAUUAGCUAGUUGGUGGAGUAAUAGCCUACCAAGGCAAUGAUCUAUAGCUGAUCUGAGAGGAUGAUCAGCCACACUGGAACUGAGAUACGGUCCAGACUCCUACGGGAGGCAGCAGUGGGGAAUAUUGGACAAUGGGCGAAAGCCUGAUCCAGCCAUGCCGCACGAGUGAAGAAGGCCUUUGGGUUGUAAAGCUCUUUUAGUGAGGAAGAUAAUGACGGUACUCACAGAAGAAGUCCUGGCUAACUCCGUGCCAGCAGCCGCGGUAAUACGGAGAGGGCUAGCGUUAUUCGGAAUUAUUGGGCGUAAAGGGCGCGUAGGCGGAUUAGUAAGUUAAAAGUGAAAUCCCAAGGCUCAACCUUGGAAUUGCUUUUAAAACUGCUAAUCUAGAGAUUGAAAGAGGAUAGAGGAAUUCCUAGUGUAGAGGUGAAAUUCGUAAAUAUUAGGAGGAACACCAGUGGCGAAGGCGUCUAUCUGGUUCAAAUCUGACGCUGAGGCGCGAAGGCGUGGGGAGCAAACAGGAUUAGAUACCCUGGUAGUCCACGCUGUAAACGAUGAAUGUUAAAUAUGGGAAGUUUUACUUUCUAUAUUACAGCUAACGCGUUAAACAUUCCGCCUGGGGACUAC
rnacentral:rRNA from 1 species